rnacentral:lncRNA from 1 species
UUUUUUAUUUAAAUAGUUAUUUUUAAAAUAUUAUUUUAGAUAUAUUAUAUUUUUAUUAUAAUUUUUAAUAUUAAUUUUAAAAUAUCACUAAAUUUAAAAUUAUAAUAGUUAUAUAAAUAAUGUUUGAUUUAUAAAUCCGUUUAAUUUUCAAUCAUUUAGUAAAUGUGUGUUUGAUUCCGUCAAAUUAAAUCUGUGGUUUAGCAAUUAGAAUUUAAAUUAAUUAGUUUUAGAAAAGUUAGGGCAAAAGAAGUGAAGUGGAAGGUGUGAA